rnacentral:pre_miRNA from 1 species
AUAUGCAUCACCUGGGGAUCUUGUUAAAUCACAGAUCCUGAUUCAGUCAAGUCUUAGGUGUGGCCUGAGAUUCCAAAAUUCUAACAAGCUCCCAGGUGAUGCCAGU